GUUAGGAAUAUUGGACAAUGGGCGCAAGCCUGAUCCAGCCAUUCCGCGUGAGUGAUGAAGGCCUUCGGGUUGUAAAGCUCUUUAGUCCACGAAUAUAAUGACUGUAGUGGAAGAAUAAGCCCCGGCUAACUUCGUGCCAGCAGCCGCGGUAAUACGAAGGGGGCGAGCGUUAUUCGGAAUCACUGGGCGUAAAGCGUGCGUAGGCUGUUUUGUAAGUCAGAAGUGAAAGCCCAGGGCUUAACCCUGGAAUUGCUUUGGAAACUACAAGACUCGAAUUCGGGAGAGGAUAGCGGAAUUGUCAGUGUAGCAGUGAAAUGCGUAGAUAUUGACAGGAACACCAGUGGCGCAAGCGGCUAUCUGGACCGAUAUUGACGCUGAGGCACGAAAGCGUGGGGAGCAAACAGGAUUAGAUACCCCUGUAGUCC
rnacentral:rRNA from 1 species